UGGGGAAUAUUGCACAAUGGGCGCAAGCCUGAUGCAGCCAUGCCGCGUGUAUGAAGAAGGCCUUCGGGUUGUAAAGUACUUUCAGUCGGGAGGAAGGUGGUAAGGUUAAUAACCUUGGCAAUUGACGUUACCGACAGUAGAAGCACCGGCUAACUCCGUGCCAGCAGCCGCGGUAAUACGGAGGGUGCAAGCGUUAAUCGGAAUUACUGGGCGUAAAGCGCACGCAGGCGGUUGAUUAAGUCAGAUGUGAAAUCCCCGGGCUUAACCCGGGAAUUGCAUCUGAUACUGGUCAGCUAGAGUCUUGUAGAGGGGGGUAGAAUUCCAUGUGUAGCGGUGAAAUGCGUAGAGAUGUGGAGGAAUACCGGUGGCGAAGGCGGCCCCCUGGACAAAGACUGACGCUCAGGUGCGAAAGCGAGGGGAGCAAACAGG
rnacentral:rRNA from 1 species